UGCGGCUAACCCGCCGCCCGGCCGGCUGAGACCCUCGCGCCCCUGCUCCUGGGGCCCCCGCCCCCUCGCCGUCUCCGCCUCCUUCCUCACACACCCCCAGGCCGCCCGGGCCGCCCGGGCCCCAAGCCUUCCCGGUGCUCCUCCCUCUUCUCCUCACACUCGCUCUCUGGCUGGGGUCCGCCUGCCGCCCGCUGGCCUGCUCCCUCCGGGGCAAGUCCUGCUUCUUAAGCGCUCCUUUCACACACGCGCGCGCUCGCUGGGCCGUCCCCUCCUCUCCGGCCCUCCUCCUCCUCCUGGUCCUUGCUAACGCUGCCGUCGGGGAGGAUUGAUGUCCCUUCAGCAUCAUGCAGCCGCCGCCGAGGAAGGUGAAAGUUACACAAGAACUGAAAAACAUUCAAGUUGAGCAGAUGACAAAACUUCAAGCCAAACAUCAAGCAGAAUGUGAUUUGCUUGAAGAUAUGAGGACAUUCAGUCAGAAGAAGGCUGCUAUUGAAAGAGAGUAUGCACAGUCUCACUCUGUGAUCCAGGCUAGAGUGCAGUGGU
rnacentral:lncRNA from 1 species